rnacentral:rRNA from 1 species
GACGAACGCUGGCGGCGUGCUUAACACAUGCAAGUCGAACGAAGUGGCGAACGGGUGAGUAACGCGUAAUCAACCUGCCCUUCAGAGGGGGACAACAGUUGGAAACGACUGCUAAUACCGCAUACUGAGGGAGGGGAAUGCGUCUGAUUGGCUAGUUGGAGGGGUCACGGCCCACCAAGGCGAUGAUCAGUAGCCGGUCUGUGGGGCUGAACGGCCACAUUGGGAAUGCGACACGGCCCAGAGUCCUACGGGAUGCAGCAGUGGGGAAGCGUCCGCAAUGGAGGAAAGUCUGAAGGCGCAACGCCGCGGGAGUGAUGACGGCCUUCGGGUUGUAAAGCUCUGUUAAUCGGGACGCGGUACCGGAAUAGAAAGCCACGGCUAACUCCGUGCCAGCAGCCGCGGUAAUAC